CUACGGGACGCUCCAGUGGGGAAUAUUGCACAAUGGAGGAAACUCUGAUGCAGCAACGCCGCGUGGAGGAUGACACUUUUCGGAGCGUAAACUCCUUUUAUAUAGGAAGAAGAUGGCGGUACUAUAUGAAUAAGCGCCGGCUAACUCCGUGCCAGCAGCCGCGGUAAUACGGAGGGCGCAGGCGUUACUCGGAAUCACUGGGCGUAAAGAGCGUGUAGGCGGAUUAAAAAGUCAGAAGUGAAAUCCUAUAGCUUAACUAUAGAACUGCUUCUGAAACUCUUAAUCUAGAAUAUGGGAGAGGUAGAUGGAAUUUCUGGUGUAGGGGUAAAAUCCGUAGAGAUCAGAAGGAAUACCGAUUGCGAAGGCGAUCUACUAGAACAUUAUUGACGCUGAGACGCGAAAGCGUGGGGAGCAAACAGGAUUAGAUACCCCGGUAGUC
rnacentral:rRNA from 1 species